AUAUGAAUCACCUGGGGAUCUUGAUAAAAUGCAGAUUCCUAUUCAAUGGGUCUAAGAUGGGACCUGGGAUUCUGCAACUUUAAACAAGUUCCCGGGUGAUGCUGAU
rnacentral:pre_miRNA from 1 species